CUUCAGCUGCAAGCAUUCUUCCAUGUGAUUCAGAAGAGAGAGCAGACUUCCAUGAACGAUAUAUCAUCGAAGAGAUAUGUGAAAAACACCUUGAGGAAUGAUUCUAAACAACGUUUGCCAUGUUUCAGUCGAUAUUAUGGAGUUAAUUUGGAAAAAAGUUCGGCGUUUUGAUGACUGAAUUUUCGUUUUUUUUGGGUAGCCAACGUGAUGAACAAAACGGAGCGAUUUCUCAUACACAAAGAAUCUUUUUGGAAAAACUGAACAUUUGCUAUCUAACUGAGUCUCCUCAUUGAAAACAACCGAAGUUCUUCAAAGUGCCACGUCCGUCUCUUCCGGAUGCACAUCUCUAUCCCUUGCUCUCCACUUUGAAAAUGACCAUUUCCACUUGCUUCUACUGAAGGAGUGUGACAUGGGUCCGUGUGGAGUGAGCAUGGAGAGAGAUCCAGUCCAAACUUCUCUCAUGUUGCUGGUGUACCGGUAGGAAAAUGGACAAGACAUAAUGGACUGUAAAGGACAGAGGCGGUGAGAGACAUUAUCAAGGGCCAUCCACUUUGAACAUGUGCCAUUAAAAUGACAAACUGAAACACUAUCUGAAGAAGAACAUGAAGAAACGCCAGGAAAGGAAGAAUGAGUGUCGUGAAGUGAGGGUGGUCAACCGUGCCCGUAAUUGAUUUAGGCUUAUCCAAAAUGGUUUAUUUGGGGUAUCAGGAUGACUGUGGGGGUCUGCACAAUGCGAAAUGUAUAGUAAUUUAGACUAAGAAUGCAUUGAAAUACCAAUCUGUCAUUACCACAGGUGAUGAGAAAAGUUAGGCUAUUAAAUAGGACCAACUUGAAGCACUAAGGACUGUCAUUCUAAAUCUGGGUUAGAUAAUGUAUCAAUAGUUAUAUUUAUAAUUUGGAAAGGGAAGGCUUCUAGAGACAGAACUAUGCCCUAAAAAUGUGAGAAGAGACACUAGAUUGUAGCUUGGGCUAACCUUUCCCCGAUCUCAUUCUUAGCAAUGUUGGUGUGAAACUGUUAUAACAUGUUCUCUCUUUCUCUUCCCUGUGAAACAUUAUUAACAUGCUGUAAGGCAAUCUGCACCUUUUUGACUGGUAAGAUUUCAUCAGCUAUCAUGUUUUCUGCUCCUCCA
ensembl:lncRNA